rnacentral:rRNA from 1 species
AGAGUGACGUACGGGUGCGUAACACGUAUGCAACCUACCCAUAACAGGAGGAUAGNNCCCCGAAAGGGGAAUUAGCCCUCCAUAGUAAUAUUGAAUGGCAUCAUUUGAUAUUUAAAACUCCGGUGGUUAUGGAUGGGCAUGCGUCUGAUUAGUUAGUUGGCGGGGUAACGGCCCACCAAGACGAUGAUCAGUAGGGGAACUGAGAGGUUGAUCCCCCACACUGGCACUGAGAUACGGGCCAGACUCCUACGGGAGGCAGCAGUAGGGAAUAUUGGUCAAUGGAUGGAAGUCUGAGCCAGCCAUGCCGCGUGCAGGAAGAAGGCCUUAUGGGUUGUAAACUGCUUUUGCCAGGGGAUAAAAUAGCUGUGCGCAGCGAAUUGCAGGUACCUGGUGAAUAAGCCACGGCUAACUACGUGCCAGCAGCCGCGGUAAUACGUAGGUGGCAAGCGUUGUCCGGAUUUAUUGGGUUUAAAGGGUGCGUAGGCGGCCCUGUAAGUCAGUGGUGAAAUACUCCGGCUUAACUGGAGGGGUGCCAUUGAUACUGCAGGGCUUGAGUGGAGUAGAAGUAGGCGGAAUUGACGGUGUAGCGGUGAAAUGCUUAGAUAUCGUCAAGAACACCGAUAGUGAAGACAGCUUACUAUGCUUCAACUGACGCUGAGGCACGAAAGUGUGGGGAUCAAACAGGAUUAGAUACCCUGGUAGUCCACACUGUAAACGUUGAUGACUCGCUGUUGGCGAUACACUGCCAGCGGCCAAGCGCAAGCGAUAAGUCAUCCACCUGGGG